AUGUAAAAUUUCGGAGAGAACCCUAGAUUACUUUUGUUGAAAUAUUUUUUGAUUUUCUUAUUUAGUGACACCUGUGGAGUGAUUUGAUACUUUCUUGUUGUAGGUUAAGCGAUUGCUCUUAUGCGGUGCUUUUUAGGGUCCAUUGAAGUUGGACCACUAAUAAAUUGUGUUCAAUUGCCUUGAAAUAUAAAAAUGUUGGAAUUUUGGGAGUAAAGAAGACAGUAGAAUUGAGUUAAUAUCAUUCCAAUUGCCGUUACACUAGUAAUUACUAGUAGUAUUUUUGGCCAGUAAUUAUUCUAAGAGCCUUUCUUAUUAUUUAGUAAGAUAAGUUGUCUUGGUUUUGUAACAUGGAUCAUUUCAAACCUGGAUUUUAAGAAUAUCUGAUGUUUUGACUGUGUGGAUUUUGUUUCUUAUUCUUUGAGGCGUUGAAUGAAGAAAGUGUUGUAUUUGGAGUUUGUAUUUGAAUGGUACUUAUGGUGUUUGUGAAGCUGUGUAUUGGUUAUUGUUGUGUUGUCUUCUCUUGAAUCCUCGCUAGGGUGUAACUGUUUUAUCAUACUUUCUGCAGUUUCCUGGUCCUCUCCUGCUCUGUAAUUACUAAAGAAAGUGACUGUUUUACCCCCCUUUAAUUAGUGGUGUUUGAGGGUACACUUGGCUCCUUUCAAUUUGAUUCUUUUCGGUUUUGGAGUUUUGGAGCUAUUUUCGUUGUCACCCUUUUGAAAAUUCUCCUGAUUACUAUUUGCAUUUGACACAGGAAAUAAUGGUUAGGGUUAGUGUGCUGAAUGAUGCUCUCAAGAGCAUGUAC
rnacentral:lncRNA from 1 species